CGGAAGAUUUAUAACUUAAUUUACAACAUAUGAUGAAGUAUAAACUUAACUAAAUUUCCAAAAGGUGUGUAGAGUAGCGGAAGCAUCUUAGGUGAAGCUUCUAAGGUAGAAGAGGUGGAUAAAUCAUGUCGCACCCACCGACAUGACCUCCAUAAGCAGUCUAAGUCAGCACCUGCAACAGGGGUUAUAAAACCCUGAGUACAAAAGUACUCAACAAGACUUAACCGACUAUAAAAGAGGUGAAAACUCAGGUAUGCAGGCUAUAGGGAUUCAAGGUAAAGCUUUAGCAAGAUCAAAGCAUUUCUUUUGCAUAAAAGCUUACUAAGAGUAAAACCUACUUUCAAGUUUUAACUCAAGGUUAUCAUUUAUGACUAACCAAUUAUUAUCAAGCUUCCAAACCAUAUCUUUCUUAUACCAAAGAUUCACUUAUUACUACGAUGAUGGUACGAGGAUUGAGGCUCCAUAUCCGAGGAAACACGGCGAUUCGAAUCGAUUAAACCCAGCUGGGGAUUCAGUACCACACGACAUAUGUAGAACUUAAUCUUGCAUAUGUCAACCUGUUUCUAUAGAUCCUCCCAUACAAGAACGGGUCCAGCGUCACCCGAGAGUACAGUACACCACCAUCCUACAGCCAAUCUAGAUGUUUCCCAGUCAUCUCAGAUCCGUAAGGUGGGUACACGCUACUCUCGCCAUCUCUCCACUCCCAGUACGCGGUUAGCCGUUCUCAAGUAUCGGAAUAGCUAUAGGUAAGGCUUACCACCGCAUGUGGGCUGUACUCAAAGAUCUCAAUCACAACAGGCCAACAACGGUACGGUCCUUAAUCGACACAGUUGGAGACACUACUUUAAGACUCCAUUCUUAAAGCAAGUCCACCGACCGGUCUCAAGUUAAACAUCAUUAACCAUAAAAGUAUUCCACAACAACCCUUCAAACUUUCUCAUUUGAAAACCUAUCUAAUAAGCAUGGCUAAGCAUACUAAGCAUUUUCAUAAAGCACGUAUCAAGGUUAAUAUUGAAAUUAUCAAGGUAGAUAAUGCAGCAAAUAGGAUUCACUCAACUCCUAUUCACCUAAUGCAUUAUAUUAACUCAAGUGAUAUAAAUAACUUUAUGAAAAUACAAGGAUAGGGUUUAAUGUCCGGGGCUUGCCUUGACCGGAAGGGAAGUUCGGCAACUCAGCAAAACCCGAAGGAUCCACAAACUCGGAAGCAACCCACUGAGGAUCAGAUUCUUCCGGAGCGUAUUCUAUACGUAAAAGUGCAUAUGCAUGAUUAUGAGAUACUCAUGGCAUGAUAAAGACAGGUUACAUGUUCUUGGAUGACAACAACAAACAUGACUAUCUCGAGUACAACUUACCUUCACGGUAUAGAAACAACUAACUUAGCUAUCAAACAUAGAUUAGUACUAAGUAAGUUUUAUCAUCUUCAUUAAGCAAGGUUGUGUAAUUAUCAGACACAAAGAUCAGUUAUAUGAAAAUAAUCCAUAACCAGGGAGCAUAUCAUGCCAAGUAACCACUGGUUGUCAAUCAAUCCCAAAGAUCAAUCAAAACCUAAAAUGAUUAGGUUUUCUAUUUAUCUUAUUCAAUUCUUAAUUAAAUAUUAAUGGCAGUAAUUAAGUAUUAACAUCAAACAAUAAUUAAGUGCCAAAGGUCAUUAAAGAUAAUGACCUCAGGUCAUCACACAAUUCCAAAAUCACUCAAAUUCUAAUUUGGAAAUUAAGCUACUCAUUAUUUAAGUAAAGGCUAGCUAAAAACAAUCAACUCUAUUUGCACACAUAACCAGGACAGCAGCAUAUAUGCAACUUCAUUCAACCAUAAUUAGAGAUCCAAGCAUCCAAUAAAGGAGAUAUUAGACUUUCUGGGAAGCUUAGAUAAUUUUCUACAACUUUGUUAUUAUCUUCGAGAACUGAUUUAAUAGAUAAAAUGGCCAAACAGUAUGAAUAAACAAUUCUGUCCAGACCUUAGACAGAAUCAGACCUUAAGCUUCAUAGAUCUAUAACCAGAGUUCUAGAUCACCAAAAUUCAUGAUCCAUAACAUUUUGGAAAGCUUAUGAAAAUUAAUACAAUUCAUCUUUUAUCAUGAAAGCAUGAUUCAUAAGUUUAGUAGGUCGAAAUUGCACAACUACAGAAACUGAUCCAGGAUUUGACAGAAAGGAACCAUUUCUGAAACUUAAAUUUAAACAGGCAUAACUCAGAAACUAUAGAGCCAAAUACCACCAAAAUUUAACACCAGCUAGAUACAUGAAUUCUAUACAACUUUGUUAUAGACAAGUUUCAUAUCCAACAUUAUUUACCUAGAGAAAUUCAUAAUGCUCUAAAAACUAUCGAGAAACCACUAACAAAUAAAUUAUAGAGAAAUCAUAUUUCAUUUAUGUUCCAAACUUGAACCUUGGCAAAACCCAGCUCACCAACAGUUGAAAUACAUCAAAGAGAUACUAGAAAACAUCAUGGCUAUCCCUAAAUAAAUACAUUUCAUGUCUUUAUUAAUUUAUUUAGAUAAAUAGACUAAGUAAUAACCAUAUAUCAAAAGUACACAGUAAAUUCUGAGAAAACUACAGCAGCUCAUAUAUGUUCUCCAAAGUCUACUGUAUAAAUUUCAUGCCAUUUGGAUAAGUAUAGCAAUUUCCAUAAAAAAGAUAAAUUUCCAUCACAAGGAAGCAUGUAACAACAAGAUAAAUAAGAAACAUGACAUUUUCUACAAACACAUAGCUAAAUUAUGUACCUAUAUGAUAUAAAAACCUCAUAUAAAGGUACAGGAACCAUAUUUUACAUUUAUUAAUUUUUAGUUUGAUUUUAAACUAUUUAAUAAGCACUAAACAAGAUAAAUUAAUAACUUAAUCAUAUGUCAUCCAAUGAAUCUAAAAACUUAACCACAGCACACACACAUAAUCAUUAGUUUACCAUAAAAGUUUCAUCUUAAAAUAAGCUAUACAGCAAAAGAUAUGAAUUUCUUCCUUUUAAGCAUAAUUAAAAGACAUAAUUCAUAACUAAUUAUUUUACUAUAAAACAUGGUCAGUUUCAUAUUUUUAAUAAAAACUAGACAUCUCAAGGAGCACAACAAAAUUUGGUUCACCAAAAUUGGAGCUACCAAACUCUAGAUAUGAAUUUUCAAACAUUCAACAAAACAUCUACAAACAAGUCCUUAUAGCACUAUUCACCUGAGUCACGAACUUCGCAGUUAGACCCUUGCCUUGUGUCGAAUUCCAAUGCGAAGUCCCUGGCGCGAAUCCAGAGCAGAGGAUAUUGGACGAAACCUGAUUUCCAGCCUGUUGACGUUCGUUGAGGGCGAGGGGAGGAGUUGGGGAGCAUCAGAGACUCACCACGACUUUGUCAAGCUGCUCAGAAGUGAUGGAGAAGCACGGAGGAGGGCUGGCAACGGUGGCGAGGUUGCGGCGGCGUUUCUGCCGACUCCGGGGAAGAAGAGAGCCGGCUAGGGAAUUGGAGAGGGUUGAGCAUGCUUGAGUGGACGCUAUCGCGUCGCAAGAGGAUGGCGGAGCUGCUGGUCCUCGAUAGAGAGUGUGGGCGGCGUGUUAUGGUGACGACGGCAAAACACGGCGGCGGCAGUUAACAGGAAGAAUGGCGGCUUGGGUUCAGUGGAUGAGGAUGGCUCCAGUUGAGGUCGAGACAACAAGCAAGCAGGCAGCUGCGUGGGCUCUCAUGCAGAGUGCCAGCGCGAGCUCAGCAGCGCCACGGAGCGGCGUUGGCCACCGACGUUGGUCAGUGCACUGUAGCAGUGUCUAUCCCCUUCUCUGGUUUUUUUUUAAAUUACUCCCAAAAUUUGAAUAGAAGUCAAAUUUCUGCCAAAAUAAAACUUGUUCAGAAUUUUGAAUGCUACAAAACAUCUUUAAGGGCCCAAGGCUGAUUUUAAAUGGAAAGGGACGAAUUUGAUCCAAACAGUUUGAAAUUCAAAUCUCAAAUUGGGAAAAAUUCCAAUUUUGAAUUGGGGCAGAUUAGAAAUUCCAAAAUUACUUUUGAUUUUCCAAAUCAACUUGAAAAACUCCCAACAUGAAAGUUGUUCAAAUUUUCAAGCCCUACAACUUUCAUGUUGACCAUUUUUAAAAAUUCUAAAUAGAUUUUGAAUUGAAAACUCAAACUAGAAAAGGGGACACUUUCCGGAAAUCUGUAUUUUCAAAAUUACUUUGAAACCAAAGUUGUACAUCUUGACAAGAUCUACAACUUUUCUUUUGAACUCAACUUCAAAUUUUGCUUGGUUUUUGAAUUGCACAAAAGGGGGUAAAAACUGAGGUUGAAAUUAGGGGUUUUUCGUAGCUAUUCCCUUACCACCCUCCUUAACUAGGGAUUAAACAACCAUCACAAGCAUCACUUCACAAGAUAAACACACUUUAAUUCCCUAAGCACAAUCAACCAAAAUAAACUUAUUUUAAUUUGAUGCAUAAUGAUGUGCAUAACAAAUAUGCUUUGAAAUGCUUAUGAUGACAUGAUCCAGUUUUAGUGUUCGUAACAUCAGGGAUGUUACAUUGCAUUCUUUUAUGGAGAAAGGGAGUAUAUUUAUAUAAUGAUAUAUCACCCAUUUAAGAGAAGAAACUAGUGGAAAGCGCGCGCCAUCGCGCGCGUAGGUAGCCACAUAGAAGGUAAACACAAUAAGAGCUAUAGAAAAAUAUAUAGCUCUAUGUAUAUAUCACAUACGUUAAUUAACAGUGGAAAAGGUUAAGUUCAGUUUCUCUAAAACGAGAGUGAAUCUUUCGUGUAGAAAGCCAUACUCGUGGCCUCAUGAGGACUUACAAUUGACUAUAUGUAUGCAUAUUUGCAAUAUGUACAUAAAUCCUUCCUUCUAUUCUAUCUGAUGACAUGUUCCUAUUGGCAAGGUGUCGAUUCAAUUUAUACCAGCUAUCCUGCAUAAAGAACAGUUAACGGAUCAAGCCAUCAGAAUGUGAGCGUAGCCUGCAAAAUACCAUAACAACAUGCAAUAGUUCCAAGGGAACACAAAUAAUCUCAGCAGACCAAUGGAACCAUAUAAUGAUUUCUUUUCUCAUGAAUAAAUGCGGCAAGCACAUAAGGAUGAAAAGAAAUUUGAAAGGACCAACUAAAAUAUAGAAAUAACAACAGACCAAAUGAACCUACUAAAACCGUACAUAUUAACAACAGACCAUAGGAACCUUCUCUAAAACAGCACAUAUCACAAGGGGUAAUGGCCUGAGCUAUAAGAACCACACGAAAAGAACAAAACAUGAACUGGUUGUAGCUAUAUGCCUUUUGGUAUGGAUUACCGAACAGAAAUCUAUUAGCAGACUGUCAUGGUCGGGCGCACGUACGUGAGACGGCGCCGCGCCCGUGAUGUGCGUCGCGCCCUGGAGCGCUCAGCUGCCAUGCAGGCAGGCGCGCAGGGGGGUUAGCACCGUAAGUGGCUAGGAAAGGAAUUAGGAGAUUCUGUUCCUUAGAUUGAGGAGUUUGUUACUCUUUUAGUUGGGCCUCUGGCCAUAUAAAUUGUAAUCAGGGACUCAAAGGAAAUCAAUCAAGUAUUAUCCAUCUAUUCUCGUCCUCUAACUCCUAAGCCGGCAACUAGGGGGCAUAACCCAGUUGACGAAGGCGACGACGGCGUGGGGGCAUAACCCAGCCGGCGGCGACGGAUCGCGACUACGAGCUGCGUAGUCGGGGUCCAGCUACCCUGGGCACUACCGCCCUUGACAACCUGGUAUCUAGGUCUCGUCGAUCCUCUCCCACCCGUUCCACGCAAUCCUCCACUGCCGCACCUGCCCAUCACCAACCCACCUCGCCGCAGUCGCCCAUCUCCGCUGCACCAGCGCCCACCAUGGCCGACCCAACCCUGGCUGAUGUCCUGGCGGCCUUGAAGACUCUCUCCGCAGAUGUGGCCACCAUGCAGGCCGACAUGGCUGUGAUGAAGAAGGAAAAGUCUGCGUCGUCCUCCGGCGGCGGCGGCGAGUUCCGCACGGAGGGUCCGCUCCCCGAUCAUCCCCCGAAGCACAAGCGAUGGGAUUUCCCCCGUUUCGACGGGACGACCGAUCCGCUGCUGUUCCUCAACAAGUGCGACGCCUAUUUUCGCCAGCACCGCACGCUGGCAGAAGAGCGCGUAUGGAUGGCAUCCUACCACCUGGAUGACGUCGCACAGCUCUGGUUCACGCAGCUGCAAGACGACGAAGGAACACCGUCCUGGGGGCGCUUCAAAGACCUCCUCGACCUGCGCUUCGGGCCGCCCCUGCGCUCGGCACCGCUGUUUGAGCUGGCUGAAUGCCGGCGCACCGGUACCGUUGAGGAGUACUCCAAUCGGUUCCAAGCCCUUCUUCCCCGCGCCGGUCGCCUGGAGGAAUCCCAACGUGCCGGUGCCUCGCUCGGCGCGGGCGGUGCGGGGUUUCCUCGGCUUGGCGGGGUACUACCGCAAGUUCAUCCACAACUAUGGCGCGAUGGCGGCCCCACUCACCAGCCUGCUCAAGAAGGAGGGUUUCUCCUGGAACGCAGAAGCUGCUGCGGCGUUCGACGACCUCAAGGCCGCGGUGACCACCGCCCCGGUGCUGGCCAUGCCCGACUUCGCCAAGCCGUUCGUGGUGGAGUGUGACGCGUCGUCCCACGGCUUUGGGGCGGUGCUGCUGCAAGAUGGACAUCCGAUCGCAUUCUUCAGUCGGCCGGUGGCGCCGCGACAUCGCGCUCUUGCUGCCUAUGAGCGCGAACUGAUCGGGCUGGUUCAGGCGGUCCGACACUGGCGCCCAUAUCUCUGGGGACGUCGUUUCAGCGUCAAGACGGAUCACUACAGCCUCAAGUACCUGCUGGAUCAACGCCUGGCCACAAUCCCGCAGCACCAUUGGGUUGGCAAGCUACUGGGCUUCGACUUCUCCGUUGAGUACAAGCCCGGCGCCACGAACGCAGUGGCAGACGCGCUGUCCAGACGGGACACGGAGGAUGGGGUGCUGCUCACCCUUUCGGCCCCCCGCUUCGAUUUCGUUGAUCGCCUACGUCAAGCACACCGGGAUGACCCGGCCCUCGUCGCCCUCCACGCCGAGAUCACAGCAGGGACACGCCCGGCGCCGUGGUCCCUCGUCGACGGCCUGGUCCAUUUCGGCAGCCGGCUCUAUAUCCCACCCGCCUCCCCACUGCUCCAAGAGAUCCUGGGGGCGAUUCAUGCCGACGGCCAUGAGGGCGUUCAGCGCACACUGCACCGUCUCCGCCGAGAUUUCCACUUCCCCAACAUGAAGCAACGGGUACAGGACCUGGUGCGCACAUGCGCAGUGUGUCAACAGUACAAGUCUGAGCACCUGCAGCCCGCAGGCCUGCUCCUUCCGCUGCCGGUGCCGCAGGGCGUGUGGACAGACAUCGCGCUGGAUUUUGUGGAAGCCCUCCCCCGCGUCCGCGGGAAGUCGGUCAUCCUCACCGUGGUGGACAGAUUCAGCAAAUAUUGUCAUUUCAUACCCUUGGCACAUCCGUACUCCGCUGAAUCGGUCGCUCAAGCCUUCUUCGCUGACAUUGUCCGUCUCCACGGUGUUCCUCAAUCCAUCGUGUCGGACAGGGACACGGUCUUCACGUCGGCCUUUUGGCAGGAGCUUAUGAGGCUGAUGGGCACGAAACUGCAGAUGACCACGGCGUUCCACCCCCAGUCCGAUGGGCAGUCAGAAUCAGCUAACCGUGUCAUCGUCAUGUACCUACGUUGUUUGACGGGGGACCGGCCUCGCCAGUGGGUAAGAUGGCUGCCGUGGGCGGAGUACCUAUUCAACACGGCAUAUCAGUCGUCCUUGCGGGACACUCCCUUCAGGGUGGUCUAUGGUCGGGAUCCGCCCUCCAUCCGUUCUUAUGAACCAGGCGACACCAGGGUCCAAGCUGUCGCCAAAACUAUGGAGGAACAGGAUGAAUUUUUGGCUGAUGUACGCUACCGGCUGGAGCAGGCUCAAGCUUCGCAGAAGCUGUACUACGACCGCAACCACCGCUCUGUCAGUUACCAGGUCGGGGACUGGGCACUCCUUCGUCUUCGGCAACGGGCAGCGUCCUCGCUUCCUCAGGCUGCGGGCGGCAAGCUCAAGCCCCGCUUCGUCGGGCCUUACCGCGUGGUGCAACUCAUCAAUGAUGUUGCUGUCCGCCUCGCGCUGCCCACAGGCGCUCGCAUCCAUGAUGUUGUUCAUGUGAGCCUCCUCAAGAAGUUCCACGGCGAGCCGCCAGCUGCGACGCCACCGCUUCCUCCACUGCGUCAUGGCGCCAUCGAGCCGGAGCCUGAGCGUGCAGUACGCUACCGUCUUGCCCGUGGCGUCCCCCAGGUGUUAAUCAAGUGGAAGGACUGCUCAGCUGCCUCUUCAACAUGGGAAGACACGGACGCUUUCCGCACCAGGUUCCCCUCCUUCCAGCUCGAGGACGAGCUGACUCUCGACGGAGAGGGAGAUGUCAUGGUCGGGCGCACGUACGUGAGACGGCGCCGCGCCCGUGAUGUGCGUCGCGCCCUGGAGCGCUCAGCUGCCAUGCAGGCAGGCGCGCAGGGGGGUUAGCACCGUAAGUGGCUAGGAAAGGAAUUAGGAGAUUCUGUUCCUUAGAUUGAGGAGUUUGUUACUCUUUUAGUUGGGCCUCUGGCCAUAUAAAUUGUAAUCAGGGACUCAAAGGAAAUCAAUCAAGUAUUAUCCAUCUAUUCUCGUCCUCUAACUCCUAAGCCGGCAACUAGGGGGCAUAACCCAGUUGACGAAGGCGACGACGGCGUGGGGGCAUAACCCAGCCGGCGGCGACGGAUCGCGACUACGAGCUGCGUAGUCGGGGUCCAGCUACCCUGGGCACUACCGCCCUUGACACAGACCUCAAAAAACCAAAAUGUCAGCAAGACCUAGUGAGACAUGGAUUACCGAAUUAGCAAUCUGCUGGUAAGUAUAGCCAAUGCAGUAAUAACUCAUGGCUGAUUUGGAUGGUGCUUUGUUUAUCAUGUCUGACAUAUGAUUAAAUUUUCUUUCACUUUGGUGAAGCGCUAAGCCUUGCUAUAUAGGGAAAGUAUUUUCAUUUUGUACACUACCUUGAGUAAAGAUAUUUUAAAUAGCAGUAACAAUAUAAUAAAAACAUAGUGUGCUGUUAUUGGCCGAAUGUAAAUUGACAAGAAGGUUUUUUUACCUAUAUAUGAGAAUAGAUCGGCAAAAUGUUGGGAGUAUAUGUGCACCUGCAAACAAAGAGGUAAGAAUUAAAUUACCACCUUAGGUCCUGUCAGAAGCUAUUUCUAUUUUGGGUGGGUUUUUAGUUAGUAAUAAAAUUGUAGGGCAGGGAUAAACAUAUGCAGAUCAAAGAAAACAUUAUCUCCAUAUCUGCUAAAGAGCAGAUGGUAUAGGAGGAACCUAGCCAAUCAGUAUUUCUAUAUGCAUGAAAAUUAUGAACAUUUCAGUUGUACUAUUUAACUGGAAGCACAUAUGAGAAGGCAUAUAAGCCGACAAUAGUACACACAAGACUGGAUCUGCUACUUUGUUUAGAUGCACAAUUUAUUGAGGUAGUCAACAUGGUAGCAAAGGUCAAGGCAUUGUAUGUUGGGCAAUGCUAACUGUCAGUGCUUUUUAUACUAAAAUUGCUUGUUGCAUACCUCAGUGAGGACCUGCAACAGGGAAGGCGCAACAUAAUAUUAAAGGGAUUGAACUGGAUGGACAAGAUGGCCAAAUGAAUUAGGAGUCAUCUAACCUUUGCCAUGCAAUAUCACAAGCACAUGACGUGGUAGAGUAUAAGCCAAAUGAAGCAAAAUAUUAUCAACAAACAGUAGGUCCUACCAAAACAAAUAAAAAGAGAUGAACAUGGAAAUCCAGCAAAGGAAAGUACGGUAGGAGAAAAAAUAAUAAAUUAAUACCACAGGAACAAUUUCCUGCACAAGCGUAAAGGUACAUUUUAAAUCUCAAAAGGAAAAAAGAAGCAACUUACAUUUUUUUAUAGUGUCCAUGAUUAACCAAUAAGCUUCAUCUUCCUGAAGUUACACACAGACACAAAUUGCUUAGUGCAAAGCAAAAUCCCAUGUUACACUGAAUGGCAACAAAAAUGGCACAAGGCAGAGCUGCUUUGAUUCUUGAAAACCCUAUGUGUAGCAGUAUCAAUAAUCAAAUAGCAUCACCUUGAAAGAUUAAUCGGAGCACCACGAACAUAUAGAUUUUCUAAAAGCCAGAGAACUCUAUCAAAGCAGGUCUGCCUUGUGUCUUCUUUUUGUGAAAGCAGUUCUGCAUUCAGAAAUAGAACCAAUCUAUUUUCUAAAAUCAAAAUAGAAUUUGACCAGUUUUGCAUCAACUAAAGGUAAUGUUCCAUUGGUGGCCUAGCAGGCUAGCACUGAAAAACUAAAAAUAUUGCUAUCACAAAGGUAGUGUUCCAUUGUUGGCAUAGCACAGGAAACUCGAAAUAUUGCUAUCACAAGAAGAUUGCACCAUAUCCAAAAUAGAAAUUAAUUGGUGAUAAGUAACAUGCUAAAAAUAUAGCUUCCAUGUUUUUGUCCAAUCGAACUUCAUAAUAGGCAGACUUUAUUUGGCUCAUCUGAUAUAAACUAAAAUGGAAGUUCCACCGCAUGUAGCAAGAAUUUGAUUGUCUAAUCUAACCCUACAAAAAUGUAAAAGUAGUUGAGUAUAUGGAAGUAUUACUAAAGAACACAUUUAAAAGAGAGGUCUCGAGGCGAAGGAAAGUCCUAGAUUCCAUUUUUAUAAACAUGAUAUUACUUUGGAUGUGCAAAUACAAAUAAACCUAUGUAGGUUUUUCAUAUAGCCUAAAACAGUUUUCAUAGUUUGAAAGGCAUUGUUAAAUUAGGCACUAUUGUACUCUUCCUAGGUUUUGGUUGUUUACUGCUAGGUAUAGCGCAUCCGGUUUGAUUUUGCAAGCCUUUCAGACAUGGGAAGGGUCUGUAAUGCAAAUAGUCUCUCCAUGAUGAUAGUAGUAGUUGUGAUGAUGAACAUGACACUCCAUCCAUCUCAAAAUAUGUAGUGGUCUUUCUUUUAGGAUAUACUAGUGUUUAAUAAAAGGUACUUGUGUAUCAUUUUUAUAAGGUAGGAGGAAAUUCUAUUUGGCAUGCUCCAGCCUAUACAUAUAAUUUUUGUUUCAUGUGAUUUACCUCUAGAAGAUUGAAUCCCAUGAUGCUAGCCAAAUUGGAAGCAGACACUGGGAGCCCUUGCCGUACCUAAUCAUAAGCCUUUCUAUCAAAAGAAGCAGCAACACCAAGAAUAGCUAAUUGUUGCUAGUCGUAAUGAAAAAUACAAUUGAGUUCCUAACAAUCUAAUAAUAGACAUAAAAGCAAAGUCAAUGCAGGUAUCAAGGAAAGUUCCCAGCUAGAACUAUCAAGUUUCGAACAUUAUUAAUAGCCAUAAUUAGUCGAGUAGGGAAUAAAGAAGCACAAUAGCUUAAAUUAGCUCAUAUCGGCCUUUCCCUAAGCCAAAUGCACCUAAAUGUUUAUGAAGAAAGCACUGAAUUAGAGUAAUCAAGGAUGAUCAAUUCUGGGCAUUGCAACGAUCAUCUCAAAUAAAGUAAUAUACUUACCUAUAUAUCCUAGAGUUAAUGGCAGAACACUAUACGUAAUAGAUAGAGAGUUGGGGAUGGAGAUUAGGGGCAAGCACCUGUUUUUUCGGACGAAUAGAAUCAAUCAUUGAAACUCCAGUGUAGAUUAGAAGAGGGGUCAGGUCACGGUUGCAUCGCGGGUGUCAAGCACAGGGAGUUAGGGUUUCGUGGAGCUCACCGAAACGGCGGGAGCGGCCAGCGCCAUGGGGCAGGCACGCCGGCGGCCAGGGAAUGGCGGCCGCUGAGGCAUACGCGCGCCACCGUGCACCAAAUCGGCGAUGCAGUCGCCCGGGCAGGGCACCGCGCAGUGAGUAGGCGGCGCCGAGGCUCGGCAGGCACACUGCGAUGCCGAGAGAGAGGGAGAGGGAGAGGGAGGAGGAGAAGGAGAGUGGAAGGGAGCGGCGUCACCGUGCCCCGCUCGCGGCCGUCGCCGUCACUGUUGUCCGCGUCGGGAGGAAGAGCGAGAGCGAGAGGGAGAGGGAGACCGAGCGAGGGAGGAGAAGGGUCAAGACGCAGAAGGCUCGGGAAGGUGGAGCCGAAGCUGUUGUAUAUAUUUGCUUUUCGG
rnacentral:lncRNA from 1 species